rnacentral:rRNA from 1 species
UACGUAGGGGGCUAGCGUUGCUCGGAAUCACUGGGCGUAAAGCGCACGUAGGCGGCUUACUAAGUCAGGGGUGAAAUCCUGGAGCUCAACUCCAGAACUGCCUUUGAUACUGGAGAGCUUGAGUCCGGAAGAGGUGAGUGGAACUCCGAGUGUAGAGGUGAAAUUCGUAGAUAUUCGGAAGAACACCAGUGGCGAAGGCGGCUCACUGGUCCGGUACUGACGCUGAUGUGCGAAAGCGUGGGGAGCAAACAGGG